rnacentral:rRNA from 1 species
UACGAAGGGGGCUAGCGUUGCUCGGAAUCACUGGGCGUAAAGCGCACGUAGGCGGAUUGUUAAGUCAGGGGUGAAAUCCUGGAGCUCAACUCCAGAACUGCCUUUGAUACUGACGGUCUUGAGUUCGGGAGAGGUGAGUGGAACUGCGAGUGUAGAGGUGAGAUUCGUAGAUAUUCGCAAGAACACCAGUGGCGAAGGCGGCUCACUGGCCCGAUACUGACGCUGAGGUGCGAAAGCGUGGGGAGCAAACAGG